rnacentral:rRNA from 1 species
GACGAACGCUGGCGGCAUGCCUAAUACAUGCAAGUCGAGCGGAGUUGAUGGAAAGCUUGCUUUCCUGAUACUUAGCGGCGGACGGGUGAGUAACACGUAGGCAACCUGCCCUCAAGCUUGGGACAACUACCGGAAACGGUAGCUAAUACCGAAUACUUGUUUUCUUCGCCUGAAGAGAACUGGAAAGACGGAGCAAUCUGUCACUUGGGGAUGGGCCUGCGGCGCAUUAGCUAGUUGGUGAGGUAACGGCUCACCAAGGCGACGAUGCGUAGCCGACCUGAGAGGGUGAGCGGCCACACUGGGACUGAGACACGGCCCAGACUCCGACGGGAGGCAGCAGUAGGGAAUCUUCCGCAAUGGGCGAAAGCCUGACGGAGCAAUGCCGCGUGAGUGAUGAAGGUUUUCGGAUCGUAAAGCUCUGUUGCCAGGGAAGAACGCUUGGGAGAGUAACUGCUCCCAAGGUGACGGUACCUGAGAAGAAAGCCCCGGCUAACUACGUGCCAGCAGCCGCAGUAA